AGAGUUUGAUCAUGGCUCAGAACGAACGCNNUGNNNCGUGCCUAACACAUGCAAGUCGAACGAGAAAAUCUUGCUUGCAAGAUGAGUAAAGUGGCGCACGGGUGAGUAACGCGUGGGUAAUCUACCUUUGGGACAGGGAUAACACUCCGAAAGGAGUGCUAAUACCUGAUACGAUGCGAUCUUCACAUGGAGUUUGCAUGAAAGGUGACCUCUUCCUUGAAAGUUGCCGCUCGAAGAUGAGCCCGCGUCCCAUUAGCUUGUUGGUGGGGUAAUGGCCCACCAAGGCGAAGAUGGGUAGCUGGUCUGAGAGGAUGAUCAGCCACACUGGAACUGAGACACGGUCCAGACUCCUACGGGAGGCAGCAGUGGGGAAUAUUGCGCAAUGGGGGAAACCCUGACGCAGCAACGCCGCGUGAGUGAUGAAGGCCUUCGGGUCGUAAAGCUCUGUCAGGUGGGAAGAACAAGGAAAUCCCCAAUAAGGAUUCCCUUUGACGGUACCAUCAGAGGAAGCACCGGCUAACUCCGUGCCAGCAGCCGCGGUAAUACGGAGGGUGCAAGCGUUGUUCGGAAUCACUGGGCGUAAAGCGCGUGUAGGCGGCCCAUUAAGUCAGAUGUGAAAGCCCUUGGCUCAACCAAGGAACUGCAUCUGAAACUGGUAGGCUUGAGUACGGGAGAGGAGAGUGGAAUUCCCGGUGUAGAGGUGAAAUUCGUAGAUAUCGGGAAGAACACCGGUGGCGAAGGCGGCUCUCUGGACCGAUACUGACGCUGAGACGCGAAAGCGUGGGGAGCAAACAGGAUUAGAUACCCUAGUAGUCC
rnacentral:rRNA from 1 species